UACAGAGGGGGCAAGCGUUGUUCGGAAUUACUGGGCGUAAAGGGCGCGUAGGCGGCCUUCUAAGUCGAACGUGAAAUCCCCGGGCUCAACCCGGGAACUGCGUCCGAUACUGGAAGGCUUGAAUCCGGGAGAGGGAUGCGGAAUUCCAGGUGUAGCGGUGAAAUGCGUAGAUAUCAGGAGGAACACCGGUGGCGAAGGCGGUUCUCUGGGCCUUACCUGACGCUGAGGAGCGAAAGCGUGGGGAGCGAACAGG
rnacentral:rRNA from 1 species